rnacentral:tRNA from 1 species
GCAUCGGUGGCUUAGUGGUAGAAUGCUCGCCUGCCACGCGGGCGGCCAGGGUUCGAUUCCCGGCCGAUGCA